rnacentral:rRNA from 1 species
UACGUAGGGACCCGAGCGUUUGUCCGGAAUUAUUGGGCGUAAAGAGCUCGUAGGCGGUCUGUCACGGUCGGCUGUGAAAACCUGGGGGCUCAACUCCGGGCCUGCAGCCGAUACGGGCAGACUAGAGUUCGGCAGGGGAGACUGGAAUUCCUGGUGUAGCGGUGAAAUGCGCAGAUAUCAGGAGGAACACCGGUGGCGAAGGCGGGUCUCUGGGCCGAAACUGACGCUGAGGAGCGAAGCGUGGGGAGCAA